UGGUACCUGCGUUGAAACAAUUUCUAAUCUUUAAUGUAGACUCCAUCAACUUUGAUAAUAUCCUUGAUGCAUCUCUGCUAGCUCUGACUGGUGGUAAUAAUGUAAUAAUGGCUCAUGGAGUUCCAAUGUUCAUCAACUGAAGCCUUGAGAGCUUCGAGAUUCGAUACCUGGCCUCAACAUACAGCCAGAUAGAAAAGUUGAGCGGGCUGACAUCUGUUUAGUAUGGUGGCAACAUUGUUUUCAGCCAGAAAGGAAUAUAAUUCUCUUAAAAGGACUGCGUGAUCCUUGCUGUUAGUGCCGGUGCUCGUCUGGAUGAGAAUACCAUCAUUAAAGGAAUUCUUGACACAAUAAUUAGUAUGUUUGCUUGCUUAAGUCAAGUCUCGGAUCUCUGUUGGUGAUUGUUCCGCCCAAAUAGAGAAACAAUCUCUAUUAUUUUGUCUCUUUGUGAAGCCAUUUUCAAUUGAUUGUGUUCGUUUUUUGUUUAUUUUUUUUUGGAAGGGGGCAUCAAUAAUAGAUUCUAUUUGGUAUCAAUACACACAGUUUGUCAGCUGGAGAAGGAAUUAUCAAUUCCUCUCUUGUGCUUUUUCUUAUUCAUCUUUCUUAUAUAUAUGGAUCUAGACUUCAACUACGCAUCCGCGGGUGUGUAUUGGAAAUAUGUACACUUAAAGAAGAUAGGAAUAAGAAAAACACGUGAGAGGAACUGAUCAUUCCUCUCAUCAUCUGACAAACUGAUAGUAUUGAUAUCCCUAUCAACACUAAAUUAACACAAUCAUUCGAAAAAUGGCUUCACAAAGAACAAAAAAAGUCGAGAUUGCUGAUCUGCUUUGUGCGGAACACACAUCAACAAAGAUCCCAUUAAUGUACAUGCUGAGGACAAAGUUGAUCCCCUGGAUCAAGGAGAAGUUUCCAGGUGGGAAUGUUCAGCAAGAGGGUACACUGGCACACACAGCAAAGGGCACACAGUCCUUGAUGGAGACCCAACAUUCCAUUCGAGUGGAAAACAAUGUGGUCUCCAUAAUACCCACAUCCAAAUUCACACGACUUAUCCUUCCAUCUAAGACCAGGGACUUCCGUAUAAGAAUAUCAAUUCUCGAAGCCCUUAAGGCUUUUGUUGAGAAGCAUUUGAACUCUUUAUGAGGCAACACCAUUAUUACCAUCUGUCAGAGCUUCUGGCGCCUCAUCGAGGCCAUUAUUAAAGUAGAUGGAAGCUACUGUUCGCAAUCGGUACAUACUAUGAAGUGAAAGGCACGUAUUAAUUAUCAAGAAAGAAUCAGAGUCAGUGCAUCAGUUAUCAAUAAAAUUGCAAUGAAAUGACAUAAAAUGAAA
rnacentral:lncRNA from 1 species